rnacentral:tRNA from 1 species
AUCUUCCUAGUACAAAGUUAGUAUUAGUGACUUCCAAUCACCAGGUCUUGGUUAAAGUCCAAGGGAAGAUA